rnacentral:lncRNA from 1 species
AAACACAAAAAAAGGCUUUAUUGCUAGACACGGGAUCUUCAUACUACUGAUAUUUAACAGGUGAUGUAGCUAGAUUGAAGCUCUUCAGAGAAACACUCCAUUCUGCGGUCUGGCUGGAGGCUUUUCACAGACUAGAGGAACAUCCGUUGAUAAUUUCAGCUCUCCAGUUUCUCAAUAAUUACAGCUUUUGGAAGAAGUUUGAAGUAUCUUCCCUUCUCAGUUACCUAAGACGGUCAAGGACUUUGAAUACAAAAGUGUUAAAAAUACUGCUAGAAUUUCCUGCUACAAGUCCGUAA